UGGGGAAUAUUGCACAAUGGGCGCAAGCCUGAUGCAGCCAUGCCGCGUGUGUGAAGAAGACCUUCGGGUUGUAAAGCACUUUCAGCGAGGAGGAAGGGUAGUGUGUUAAUAGCACAUUGCAUUGACGUUACUCGCAGAAGAAGCACCGGCUAACUCCGUGCCAGCAGCCGCGGUAAUACGGAGGGUGCAAGCGUUAAUCGGAAUUACUGGGCGUAAAGCGCACGCAGGCGGUUUGUUAAGUCAGAUGUGAAAUCCCCGCGCUUAACGUGGGAACUGCAUUUGAAACUGGCAAGCUAGAGUCUUGUAGAGGGGGGUAGAAUUCCAGGUGUAGCGGUGAAAUGCGUAGAGAUCUGGAGGAAUACCGGUGGCGAAGGCGGCCCCCUGGACAAAGACUGACGCUCAGGUGCGAAAGCGUGGGGAGCAAACA
rnacentral:rRNA from 1 species